UGAACGCUAGCUACAGGCUUAACACAUGCAAGUCGAGGGGUAACAUGAUUGGAGCUUGCUCCGAUUGAUGACGACCGGCGCACGGGUGAGUAACGCGUAUCCAACCUGCCCCAUGCUCUGGGAUAACCUUCCGAAAGGGAGCCUAAUACCGGAUGUUGUGCGACGAUGGCAUCAGAAUUGCACGAAAGAUUCAUCGGCAUGGGAUGGGGAUGCGUCUGAUUAGCUUGUUGGCGGGGUAACGGCCCACCAAGGCGACGAUCAGUAGGGGUUCUGAGAGGAAGGUCCCCCACACUGGUACUGAGACACGGACCAGACUCCUACGGGAGGCAGCAGUGAGGAAUAUUGGUCAAUGGACGCGAGUCUGAACCAGCCAAGUAGCGUGCAGGACGACGGCCCUACGGGUUGUAAACUGCUUUUGUAUGGGAAUAAAGUGCUCCACGUGUGGAGUUUUGUAGGUACCAUACGAAUAAGGACCGGCUAAUUCCGUGCC
rnacentral:rRNA from 1 species